GUGUAGUCAAAGUUCGUAUGAGUCUUUGUCUUUGUAUCCUCUAAGAAGGAUACAAUACUUAGGCUUUUGAGAUCUGGUUGCGA
rfam:Arabidopsis thaliana chromosome 5, complete sequence.